AUCCCAGUGCAGAAAGACAGACAUAAGUAAAUGUUUGAAGCAUAUAGUAGGUGAGAUAACACUGAGGUCUAAGGCGAAGGGUAAAGCAGGGAAGGGGCUGGAGAUGCAAGUUUAAACGGGUGGUUGGGGAAGAUGACAUGUGAGCAAAGAAUUGAAACAGGUGAGUGAGUAAGGCGCAUGGCAUUCUGGAGGAGGAGAGUUCCAGGCAGAGGGAAACAGCCAGUGUGAAAGUUCUGGUACUGGAGCAUGCCUGGAAAGUUUAGAGAAAAGAAAUGAGGACAGUGUGACUGGAAAGAGAACAAAGCAAAAAUCAGGAGAAGGUGAGGUUGGAAAGCUGGCAGCACUGGCUACUGCCUAGGAAGACAAGGGGCAUGGUGUUGGGUACAUACAGGUACCAGAACAUUCCUGAGGACUCACACCACAGGGAAAGAAUAUAGGUGCAUAGGAGACAUACAGGGAAGCGGAGGAGGCAAUGCGACUGCAGAGGCAGAGAAGAGAGUGAUGAGGCCACGAAUCAAGGAUUGUCAAGAUCGCCCGGAAGCCUGAAGAGGCAAGGGCAAGGGAAGGAUUCUGCCCUAGAGCUUUUGGAAGAAGCAUGGCUUUGCUGACACCUCCAGAACUGCAAAAGAAUACAUUUCUGUUGCUUUAUGCUUCCCAGUUUGUGGUAACGUGUUCCAAAGGACAGUAGUAUGAUCCUUUACAUUUUCUUUUUUUCUCCAUUUAAGUUUUUCUAUCCUUUUGUGCAUUUGUCCAUUUGUGCCCUUCAUGAAAAUCUCACGCACUCUCUUUCUCGUUGUAUCAUUGCCAAGACAGAGUACAAAACAAUAAUUUGAUGCAUGUGGGUAUGAUUGGGCUUUUUUGAAAAGUUGAUUGACUGUUAAGCCAACUGACCAUGUUUUUAAUAUGAAUGAAAAUACAAAUUACUUGGCAGUUUUGGUAAAAAUGCAGAGUCCCAAUGUCUCCACCCUAACACAUUUCUGAUUUUAUAAGUCUGAGGUGUGACCUGUGAACCAGUGUUUUCUGACAAGAAUCUGAGGGAUUCUUAUAUAGAUGGCUAACAAUCCAUACUUAGUAAACAUUAAAGUGAGGCAUGGUUCCCUUUGUCUGCUAUCAAGAAUGGAUGUAUAUUUGUGGUAUGUCAGUCUCAAAGCCCAUUACAAUCCAGGAAGUAAAGUCUAUAGAAUGUCAAAUCCCAGGCCUCUGUAAAAAUAUAAGUAACUUCAAAAGGAUUUGGUUAGACUCACGUUUAACAAUUCACAGUGGCUAAUUCAAGGAAAUGAGGGUGGUUCCUUAACCUCUGACUUGAAAGCCAAGGGGGUGUAGCAUAACAUUUCCCAGCAUGUUCCUUACUGCCACUGCCUGGGAGUGGAUUCUACACAGGCCUGGCGGGCCCAUGUUCCCACACACUGGGCCAAUUUUUGUUCCUGGCUCAGGGCUGUGCUUACUUAGAGGGGUAAUGACUUUGUCUGUUUUGCUCCUCAGUGGGGCACAUCUCCCAUCUAUUUUGUUUAGGAACUCUAAACACAGUCUACAGUCCAAAGGGAAGCUCAGCUGUGGAACUCUGAACAGGAUCUGGCUAGAAGCAGCCCCAACACACUUUGUUUUCCCACUCUUCUCAUCGUCCUUCUCAGAACUGGGAGGUUUUUCAGAGUACUUGAUGUUGCAGGCUGUUGCCUGAAACCACCCAUCCAGGAGCAUGUCCACCUCUUGCUGCUUAACUGGCUGUAAACUCUGGUACAUCCAGGACAGAAAGUGGAGGCUGAAAAGGGUAAUCAGUGUGUGCCUAAAGGAGGCCAUUGUUUACCUUUUAUGAAAGCAAUGGGACACAUAGUACGUUCUCACUCAUGAGUGGGAGCUAAACUGUGAGGAUGAAAAGGCAUGAGUGGCACAUGGAGUUUGGGAACUCAGUGGGAAAGGGUCAGAAGGGGUUGAGAGAUAAAAGACUACAAAUUGGGUUGAUUGUAUACUGUUUGGGUGAUGUGUGCACCAAGAUCUGACAACUCACCCCUUACUCAUGUAACCAAAUACUAUCUAUUCCCCAAAAA